rnacentral:rRNA from 1 species
GACGAACGCUGGCGGCGUGCUUAACACCUGCAAGCCGCACGAGUGGCGAACCGGUGAGUCACACGUGGGUGAUCUGCAUAGCACUUGGGGAUACGCAUGGGAAACUGGGUCUAAUACCGGAUCGUGCAAGAUGCGCUCGCGGCCUGUCAGCCGGUUGGUGGGGUAAUGGCUAACAAGGCGCGACGUGUAGCCGGUCUUAGAGGGUGUACGGCCACAUUGGGACUGUGAGACGGCCCAGACUCCGACGGGAGGGAGCAGUGGGGAAUAUUGCACAAUGGGCGGAAGCCUGAUGCAGCGACGCCGCGUGGGGGAUGAAGGCCUUCGGGUUGUAAACUCCUUUCGACAGGGACGCGGUACCUGUAUAAGAAGCACCGGCUGGCUACGGGCCAGCAGCCGCGGUAAUUC